CUGGUUGAUCCUGCCAGUAGUCAUAUGCUUGUCUCAAAGAUUAAGCCAUGCAUGUUUAAGUAUAAACCGCUUGUGCCGCAAGGUGCAAAACGGGUGAAACUGCGAAUGGCUCAUUAAAUCAGCAAUCGUUUAUUUGAUUGUGCGCUAUUGUGGUGUUUGGUUUGGGGGUUCGCCUCUGGAUCAAAGUCCGCAAAUGGCUACAUGUAUAACCGUGGUAAUUCAAGACCUAAUACAUGAAGGAAAAACAAGGCUGACUUUUCGCAAGAGAGGAAGGCCCGCAUUUAUUAGAUACAUACGAAAACCGGAACUCAUGGGGCAACCUGUGGGCCAAAGAGUUGGCGAUUCAUAAUGACUGCGCGAAUCGCAUGGCCGUCACUCUCGGGUGGGAAUGGCUGGCGAUGGAUCAUUCAUAUUUCUGCCCGCUCAAUUUUCUAUGGUUGGAUGGAGGCCAACCAUGGUGAUGACGGGUAACGGAGAAUUGAUUGUGCGAUUCUUGACAGAAAGGGAACCCGACAACCCCCCCCCCCCAUCAAGGGAAGGCGCAGCGCUUAGUUGCCCUAUCCGGCCUUGGGAGGUUUCGCCAUUACAUACCAUGGCGGACAUUUGGAUAAACUGCAUGGGAAUGGGAUUAAUCUAAGUACAAGCUUUUGCAAAGGACAAGUGCAGGCAAGUUCUCGAAGGCUCCCGGGUACAAGCUAAUUUGGAAGGGGGGUAAUAUAUAUUCCUGGGAAAGUAACCCCCCGCGAAA
rnacentral:rRNA from 1 species